AGAGUUUGAUCCUGGCUCAGGACGAACGCUGGCGGCGUGCUUAACACAUGCAAGUCGAGCGGAAAUAUAUUGAAGAUUCGUCGGAUAUAUAUUUUAGCGGCGGACGGGUGAGUAACGCGUGGGCAAUCUGCCUCACACAGGGGAAUAACACUGGGAAACUAGUGCUAAUACCGCAUAAUAUAACGAAGCGGCAUCGCUUUGUUAUCAAAGGAGCAAUCCGGUGUGAGAUGAGCCCGCGUCCGAUUAGCUAGUUGGUGGGGUAACGGCCCACCAAGGCGACGAUCGGUAGCCGAACUGAGAGGUUGAUCGGCCACAUUGGGACUGAGACACGGCCCAGACUCCUACGGGAGGCAGCAGUGGGGAAUAUUGCGCAAUGGGGGAAACCCUGACGCAGCAACGCCGCGUGAAGGAUGAAGGUUUUCGGAUUGUAAACUUCUUUGAUCGGGGACGAAGAUGACGGUACCCGAGGAACAAGCCACGGCUAACUACGUGCCAGCAGCCGCGGUAAUACGUAGGUGGCAAGCGUUGUCCGGAAUUACUGGGUGUAAGGGGCGUGUAGGCGGGGCGGCAAGUCAGAUGUGAAAUACCUCGGCUUAACUGGGGUGCUGCAACUGAAACUGUCGUUCUUGAGUGUCGGAGAGGAAAGUGGAAUUCCCAGUGUAGCGGUGAAAUGCGUAGAGAUUGGGAGGAACACCAGUGGCGAAGGCGGCUUUCUGGACGAUAACUGACGCUGAGGCGCGAAAGCGUGGGUAGCAAACAGGAUUAGAUACCCUGGUAGUCCACGCUGUAAACGAUGGAUACUAGGUGUAGGAGGUAUCGACCCCUUCUGUGCCGGAGUUAACACAAUAAGUAUCCCACCUGGGGAGUACGGCCGCAAGGUUGAAACUCAAAUGAAUUGACCGG
rnacentral:rRNA from 1 species